AUUUGUCAUCAAUUAAGUGGGAGGGGAAGUUUCUGUGCUUUCUGAGAGAAGCAGAGGAUUUGCUAGAGCUGUGAGCAGGUCUGGUGGACAGAAAGGUCUCCUAGGAGAGCUCCUCAGUUAACACCAGUGGAAGCUGAGCUGGGUGUGACCAGGUGGCAGCAAAAGGGGGUGAGACACUCUUUUACAGGCUGGCUGUGACAAUACACGGGGUCAGCCAAGCAUUUCUCUUCCUGCUUGUCUCCCAGUUAGAGUGGCUGUGAGACAUUGCCAAAAACACCCAGUGCAGUCUUGUCAGCCCUUCUGUUUGCACAGAACAUCUCUUCGGGUAGCAGGAGGUGUGAGGCAGCUGAUCAUGUCCUGUACUUUUAAUCAUCUUGGAGUAAUGAGUUCCUACUGGUCUGAAAGUGAAAAACUCCUUCUCAGUGACCUGAGGGUUUCUCUGCUACGGUUUUUGGGGAAUCUGAAGAUUUUACAGGUGUGAUGGUUUCCAGCUAUUCCUGCUGCAACAGGGACAAGAAAUUCCCAAGGAAAACAGAGAGCUGGAGUGUGGGGAGGUGAAGGGGGAGGAAAUAAUUAAAAAAGCAUGAAAAAAAUCAAAUUGCCCUGAUCUGUGGUGUGUCUUAGCAGGGAGAUUACACCUUCAAAGCACCAUA